rfam:Methanosarcina acetivorans str. C2A, complete genome.
GGGCUCGUGGUCUAGACGGUUAUGACGUCGCCUUCACACGGCGGAGGUCCUGAGUUCGAAUCUCAGCGGGCCCA